AGUGAACGCUGGCGGUAGGCCUAACACAUGCAAGUCGAACGGCAGCACAGUAAGAGCUUGCUCUUACUGGUGGCGAGUGGCGGACGGGUGAGGAUUACAUCGGAAUCUACUUUUUCGUGGGGGAUAACGUAGGGAAACUUACGCUAAUACCGCAUACGACCUACGGUUGAAAGCAGGGGAUCUUCGUACCUUGCGCGAUUUAAUGAGCCGGUGUCGGAUUAGUUGGUUGGCGGGGUAAAGGCCCACCAAGGCGACGAUCCGUAGCUGUUCUGAGAGGAUGAUAAGACACACUGGAACUAAGACACGGUCGAAAAACCUACAGGAAGCAGCAGUGGGGAAUGUUAAGCAAUGGGCGCAAGCAUGAUACAGCCAAACCGCGUGGGUGAAGAAGGCCUUCGGAUUGUAAAGGCCAUGUGUUGGGAAAGAAACGCAAUAGGAUAAUACCCCGCUGUUCUGACGGUACCCAAACAAGAAGCACCGGCUAACUUCGUG
rnacentral:rRNA from 1 species